AAACUAUUUUAGUUUAUCCCACAUAGAAAUUUUAUCAAAACAAAGACUAGUUUAUAUAUGGCUACAUUUGUAUGUGUAAUCACGUGUAGCAUAAAUGCUCUCUCAAUGUAUGCACGUAUAGGGUGAAAAUCGCAGACCAAAUUAGUUCUUUAGGCCUUGAACUAGUGACCGAUAUAGAUGAAUGUCGGAUCGAAUGAACAUUUGCACUCCAACAACUAAGCUGGUUGUUUGAAAUUAGAGCAAGUCUGGAAGAGAAACGAACUUGAUGGAAAUUUGGCAAGGAUAUCCUUCAGCCUUUUUCUUCAACACGCAUCAAGUAUUUGUAGAAAAACUAACGUAACCGUAUUUAGGAACUUUUAAUUUACUGGACA
rnacentral:lncRNA from 1 species